rnacentral:lncRNA from 1 species
AAGGAAUUUUUAAAUCCUUGAAUCAAUAGACUUUCGUACAACGACACUGCUCCUCAGCAAAUCUAAUCCCAAUACUAAUUCCAGAAUAAUGCUAUAACGGAGCCUUCCUUUCCAAUCGAAUCUAUAUCCUCUGUUUCGAAGAAAGCUAUCCCCACAUCUGCCUCAAGAAAAAGAAGAAGCAAUUCUAUUAUAGUAUGAUAAGGAAAGUCAAGCGGACCCGUACCUAGUAGUAGAUUUCCUUGAAUGAGGAUUCUCGGGCAACAACGCAUAUGACGAGCGAUAGGUCAAAGGCACGCCCAAAGGCACAUUCUUUUUAAUUCAAUAGGGUUGUCAAAGCUUCAGAAAAGGUUUCAUCAUCUUUAGCGGCAUAGGGGAUUUUAAAUGGAGAUUUAUCGGAACGGAACCGGCUUCCUCAGCAGCAUCCCUAGUAGAGUCCUAACUUUCGAGCUUAGCUUUGCUGGAUUCCUAAUCUCAUUUUAUGAGCGAUGCUUCCUACUUCUGGUACGGUUACGGGGAGGGCUUAAAGAAAUUAAACAUACGUUUUAGGAUUCCUACACGCGAUAUAUUCGUACGAGCGAUGUAUGACUACGAUUUGAUAGUUCAAAGAAUCAGCAAUUCAAUAGGAAUCCUCCCCUCGCCACUUCAAAGGGAAAGAUCCACCCUGGCUAUGACCCACCUAAGGCUCCGUUACCUUAUCAACGAAUCGUAGGCCUCGUACGUGCGUAUUGGUUUCUAGCGCAAGGAAGCAUAUGAACAGCACUGGUAACCCCGUCUCCUACAAGGAUUCUCUGUUCCCUAACUGUUCCAGUCGACCAAAGCACUUUCAUACCACGGCGAAUUGGAAAAAAUAGAACAUUCUAAGCGAAAGAAGCUUGUUAAAGCUAAUGAUAAAGAAACAGAUAGUAGUUCUUGCAAGCUAGGGAUGAAACUAAUCAGACUAGCUACGCUGGCUAAAGAAUAAAAGUAUGAACCAAGUGAAAACUUCCUUAUUGUGGGACCUGGCGAAGAGCGAGAGCAAGGAAAGGUUGUGUGUGCAAUAGCUAUAGCAAUAGAUCAAAUCGA